rnacentral:rRNA from 1 species
AGUGAACGCUGGCGGUAGGCCUAACACAAGCAAGUCGAACGGCAGCACAGUAAGAGCUUGCUCUUACGGGUGGCGAGUGGCGGACGGGUGAGGAAUACAUCGGAAUCUACUUUUUCGUGGGGGAUGACGUAGGGAAACUUACGCUAAUACCGCAUACGACCUACGGGUGAAAGCAGGGGAUCUUCGGACCUUGCGCGAUUGAAUGAGCCGAUGUCGGAUUAGCUAGUUGGCGGGGUAAAGGCCCACCAAGGCGACGAUCCGUAGCUGGUCUGAGAGGAUGAUCAGCCACACUGGAACUGAGACACGGUCCAGACUCCUACGGGAGGCAGCAGUGGGGAAUAUUGGACAAAGGGCGCAAGCCUGAUCCAGCCAUACCGCGUGGGUGAAGAAGGCCUUCGGGUUGUAAAGCCCUUUUGUUGGGAAAGAAAAGCAGCAGGUUAAUACCCCGCUGUUCUGACGGUACCCAAAGAAUAAGCACCGGCUAACUUCGUG